AACACCUCAGCCUCUCUGAUGACAUAUAAUGUAUGUUGUCAAGCUGAAUGGGAAGGUGGCUACCACUCAAGGCCAGGACCAUGCUGUCCGUAGCUCAUCUCCUCAGCCUUCUUUUCCUCUAUAUCUCUGAUUCUUGGGCCGAAACAACGGUGACCCAGUCUCCAUCAUCCCUGUCCAUGGCUGCAGGAGAAAAAGUCACUAUCGGUUGCAAAACCAGCACAGAUAUUGAUGAUGAUAUGAACUGGUACCAGCAGAAGCCAGGGGAAGCUCCUAAGCUCCUUAUUUCAGAAGGCAAUACUCGUCGUCCUGGAGUCCCGUCCAGGUUCUCCAGCAGUGGCUAUGGAACAGAUUUUGUUUUUACAAUUGAGAACAUGCUAGCAGAAGACGCUGGAGAUUAUUACUGCCAGCAAAGUGAUAACACACCUCUCACAGUGCUAUGUCCUCUUACAGAAACCUGCAGAUGCUGUUGGUGA